rnacentral:lncRNA from 1 species
CGGGCGAAGUCUGCGAUUGGUGGAGCCACGGCCCGGGCGAGGGGCCGGGCCUGAUGGAGCCGAGGCUGCGCGGGCAGGGGACCGAGGUCUGCAGGCAAACUGCGCGGCUCGACCGGCGGCAAUCGAGACCUAGACCUCGGUCAGCGCCCCGCCGCCCCUCUGCGUGCGACUUGGUGAGGCCGGUGGGUGCGCGUCGAGAGGGCCGAGGGACGAGCGGAAGAGAAGCUGCUGCGAACUCGGGCCACCCAGAUGGCCCGGCGGAGUUCCCUGCGUAAGGCGCGGCCUCGGCCACUUCGCCGAGGACCCCGGGAAGGGUCGAGCUUCCCACGCCUGAGAACCCACCUUUGGGCAUUUCCUCGCGCUGCCGGGGUGCAGACGCCGGGAGCUUCCGGGUGCCUCUCCCGCUGACCCCCGCAUCACAGUUACCUGGAGGACUCACCAAACCACAGCAAGUGUAGGAAUUACCAGCACGCCGGGUGAAAAUCCAGGUGCUCAUCAGGCCCGCCCCAGACCACACCGGCCAGUGUGGGGAAGGGCAGGAACCCCUGCUGCUUUUUAAGCCCCUGCGGGCGUUUGUGAUGCAAUAGGGAGUUAGAAAAGUACUCAAUAGUGAGUGUCGUUAUUCGGUUUGUCAAAAAUUAAAGGUGGGGAGGACAAAAAUCAGGAGAGAUUGAUUGCAUCUACUUUUCUACGGAAAUGUCUAACUCCGCUUCCAAAAAAAGCCGUAAUUAUUUUUGUGCUUCAAAUAUACGUUUAUGUUUAUAUCUUUCAACAUAAUUUUGUAAAACAAAUGUUAAGUUUUACUGAAUGUUGUCACUGAACAAACUUGUGAUGAGCAGGUAUUUUAGAGUCUUGGGGUCUUAAAAGAAAAUCAUAGGACUCAGACUGCCCCAGAGUUAUGCAAUCUAAGAGUAUAUUAACCACUUUUAAGUAUUAUAUGUUUUUCUCUUUUUUGAGCUUUUGUCGAUUUGACACGUUCAUUUCAUUUGAAUGUUGGUUCUGAAAAUGAAGCAUGUAGUUACUUUUCCGUUAACAUACAUAACAGCAUUUUAAAGUACCUAAAUUCCUUUUGGAAGGCCGAGGCGGACGGAUCACCUGAGGUCAGAAGUUCCAGACCAGCCUGACCAACAUGGUGAAACCCGUUUCUACUAAAAAUACAAAACCUAGCCCCGGGCGUGGUGGCACGCGCCUGUAAUCCCAGCUACUCAAGAGCCUGAUGCAGGAGAAUCGCUUGAAACCGGGAGGCGGAGGUUGCAGUGAGCUGAGAUCGCGCCACUGCACUCAGCCUGGGCCAAAGAGUGAGACUCCGUAUCAAAAAAUAAUAAUAAAGUACCUGGCCGGGCGCGGUGGCUCACGCUUGUUAUCCCAGCACUUUGGGAGGCCGAGACGGGCAGAUCACGAGGUCAGGAGAUCGAGACCAUGGUGAAUGGCGUGAACCCGGGAGGCGGAGCUUGCAGUGAGCUAAGAUCGCGCCACUGCACUCCAGCCUGGGCGACAGAGCGAGACUCCGUCUCAAAAAUAAAUAAAUAAAGUACCUACAUUCCUAAAAGCAGUGCUUAAUUCUGCAGCACAUAUACUAAAAUUAGAAUAAUAUAAAGAUUAGCAUGGCCCCUUCCCAAGGAUAACACGCAAAUUCGUGAAGCGUUCCGUAUUUUUAAAUAUAUACACCUACUAUGUAACCAAAAAAAUUAAAAAUAAACAUAUAAAUUCCUGAAAGCUAUGCCAGUCCAAUCCAGAUAAUUCUUUUAAUUUUUAAUUUUUAUUUUUUGUGAGUACAUGGUAUAUAUAUUUAUGGGGUACAUGAGAUUUUGAUACAGGCAUACAAUAAGUAAUAAUCACAUCAGGGUACAUGGAGUAUCCAUCACCUCAAAUAUUUAUCCUUUCUUUGUGCUACAAACAAUCUAAUUAUACUUAGUUAUUUUAAAAUGUUCAAUGAAUUAUCGUUGACUAGUCACUCUCGUGCUGUCAAAUACUAGAUCUAAUUCUGUCUAUACUUUUGUACCUAUUAACCAUCCCCACUCUGCCCCUUAAUUCCCCACUACCCUGCCCAGCCUUGUAACCAUCAUUCUAUUCUCUGUUAGUUCCGUUGUUUUAAUUUUUAGCUCCCACAAAUAAGUGAGAACAUGCAGAGUUUGUCAUUCUGUACCUGGCCUAUUUCACUUAAAGUAGUGACAUCAGUUGCAUCCAUUUUGUUGAAAAUAACAGGAUCUCAUUCAUUUUUAUGGCUGAAUGCUACUACGUUGUGUACAUAAACCACAUUUUCUUUAUUUGUCUAUUGAUGGACACUUAGGUUGUUUCCAAAUCUUGGCUGUUGUGAACAGUGCUGCAAUAAACAUGGGAGUGCAAGUAUAUCUUAGGAUAUACUGAUUUCCUUUCUUUGGGGUAUAUACCUAUCAGUGGCAUUGCUGGAUCAUGUGGUAGCUCUAUUUUUAGCUUUUUGAGGAAUAUCCAAACUAUUCUCCGUAGUGGCUGUACUAAUUUACAUUCCCACCAACAGUGUACAAGGGUUCUCUUUUCUCCACAUCCUCAUCAGCAUUUGUUAUUGCCUGUCUUUUGGAUAUAGGCCAUUUUAAUUAUGAUGAAAUGAUAUCUCAUUGUAGUUUUGAUUUGCAUUUCUCUGAUGAUGAGUGAUGUUGAGCACCUUUUCAUAUACUUAUUUGUCAUUUGUAUGCCUUCUUUUGGUAAAUGUCUAUUCACAUCUUUUGCCCAUUUUAAAUUUUUUUUUUUUUUGAGAGAUAGGUUCUUGCUCUGUCAUCCAGGCUGGAAUGCAGUGGUUUGAUCUAGCUCACUGAAGCUUCGAACUCCUGGGCUCAAGUAAUCCCCCCACUUCAGCCUCCUGAGUAGCUGGGACUAGAGGUGUGCACCACCACACCUAGCUAAAUUUUCUUUUAAUUUUUUUUUCUUUUUUUUUUUUUUGUAGAGAUGGGGUUUCUACAAAAAAACAGCCUGCCCAUGUUGCCCAGGCUGGUCUUGAACUCCUGGCCUCAAGUGAUCCUCCUGCCUUGGCCUCCCAAAGUGCUGGGAUUACAGGUGGGAACCAUGGUGCCUGGCCCUUUUGUCCUUUUUAAACUCAGAUUAUUAUAAUUUUUCCUAUUAAGUUGUUCAUGCUCCUUAUAUAUACUGGUUAUUAAUCCCUUGUCAGAUGGAUAGUUUGCAAAUAUUUUAUUCCCAUUCUGUGGAUUGUCUCUUUGUUGAUUGUUUCCUUUGCGGUGCAGAAGCUUUUUAUCUUGAUGUGGUCACAUUUAUCCAUAUUUGCUUUGGAUGCCUGUGCUUUCAGGGUAUUACUCAGCAACUCUUUUGCCCAGCCCAAUGUCCUGGAGAGCUUCCUCAAUGUUUUCUUUUAGUAGUUUCAUAGUUUCAGAUCUUAGAUUUAAGUCUUUAAUCCGUUUUGAUUUGAUUUGUGUGUAUGGUGAGAGAUAGAGGUCUACUUUCAUUCUUCUGCAUAUGGCUAUCCAGUUUUCCCAGCACCAUUCAUUAAACAGACCGUCCUUUCUCCAAUGUGUAUUCUUGGCACCUUUGUCGAAAAUGACUGCAGAUAUAUGGAGUUGUUUCUGGGUUCUCUAUUCUGUUCCAUUGUUUUUUUUUUUUUUUGAAAUGGAGUCAGCCUCUGUCACCCAGGCUGGAGUGCAGUGGCAAGAUCUCGGCCCACUUUUACCUCCACCUCUUGGGUUCAAGCGAUUCUUCUUCCUCAGCCUCUCAAGUAGCUGAGAUUACAAGUGCGUGCCACCAUGCCUGACUAAGUUUAGUAUUUUUAGUAGAGACAUGGUUUCACCAUGUUGGCCAGACUUGUCUCGAACUCCCGGCCUCAAGUGCCGCCUCGGCCUUCCAAAAGUGCUCAAAGUGCUGGGAAUACUGGUGUGAGCCACCAUGCCCAGCUAAUUUUUGUACUUUUAGUAGAGACAGGGUUUCACCAUGUUGGCCAAGCUGAUCUCAAACUGACAUCAAGGGAUCCACACGCCUCGGCCUCCUAAAAUGCUUGCAUUACAGGCAUGAGCCACUGUGCCUGGGCCCUCUUCCACUGGUCUUUAUGUCUGUUUUUAUGCCAAUACCAUGUCAUUUUGGUCGCUAUAGCUCUGUAGUAUAAUUUGAAGCCUGGUAAUGUGAUUCGUCCAGUUUUGUUCUUUUUACCCAGGAUAGCUUUGGCUAUUCUGAGUCUUUUGUGGUUCUAUAUAAAUUUUAGGAUUUUUUUUUCUAUUUAUGUGAAGAAUGUCAUAGGUAUUUUGAUAGAGAUUGCAUUUAAUCUGUAGAUUGCUUUGGGAAAUAUGGACGGUUUAACAAUAUGGAUACUUCCAAUCUGUGAACAUGGAAUACCUUUCCAUUUUUUUGUGUCCUCAUUAAUUUCGUAUAGUUUUCACUGUAGAGAUCUUUCACUUCUUUGGUUAAUUUCUGGGUAAUUAAUUUUAUUUCUAGGUAUUGUAAAUGGAAUUACUUCCUUGAUUUCUUUUUCAGAUUGUUCACUGUCGGCAAUAGAACUGCUACUGAUUUUUAUGUGUUGAUUUUGUAUCUGCAACUUUACUGAAUUUGUUUAUCAGAUCUAAUAGUUUUUUGGUGGAGUCUUUAGGUUUUUCCAAAGAUAAGAUCACAUCAUCUGAAAAGGAUAAUUUGACUUCUUCGUUUCCGAUUUGGAUGCCCUUUAUUUCUUUCUCUUGUCUGAUUGCUCUAGCUAGAACUUCUGGUACUAUGGUGAAUAACAGUGGUGAAAGUGGGCAUCUUUGUCAUGUCCCAGGUAUGAGAGGAAAGGCUUUAAAUUUUUCCUCAUUCAGUAUGAUACUUACUAGCUGUGGAUCUAUUGUAUAUAGAUUUUAUUAUGUUGAGUUUUAUACCCAGUUUUUUUAGGGUUUUUAUCAUCAAGGGAUGUUGAAUUUCAUCAAAUGCUUUUUCAGCAUCAAUUAAAAAGAUCAUAUGGUGUUUGUCCUUCAUUCUGUUGAUAUGAUGUAUCACAUUGUUUUGCAUAUGAUGAAUCAUUCUUGCAUCUGAGAUAAAUCCCUCUUAGUCAUGAUGAAUGAUCUUUUUAAUGUGUUUUUGAAUGCACUUUGCUAGUAUUCUGUUGAGGAUUUUUGCAUCAGUAUUCAUCAGUGAUAUUGGCCUGCAGUUAAUUUUUUAUUUUUAUGUAUUUAUUUAUUUUGAUGUGUCUACCUGGUUUUGGUAACCGGGUAAUACUGGCCUCAUAGAGUGAGUUUGCAAAUAUUCCCUCCUCUUCUGUUUUUCAGAAUAGUUUGAGUAGGAUUGGUAUUAGUUCUUCUCUAAAUGUUUGGCAGAACUCAGCAGUGAAGUCAUUGGGUCCCAGGCUUUUCUUUGCUGGAAGAUUUUUUUAUUAUGGCUUUGAUCUCAUUACUUGUUAUUGAUCUGCUCAGUUUUUGGAUUUCUUCAUGGUUAAAUUCUGGUAGGUUGUAUGUGUCUAGGAAUUUAUUCAUUUCUUCUAGAUUUUUCAAUUUAUUGGCAUAUAGUUGCUCAUAGUAGCCACUAAUGAUGCUUUGAAUUUCUGCAGUAUUAGUUAUAAUGUCUCCUUUUUUGUCUUUGAUUUUAUUUAUGUGGGUCUUCUCUCUUUUUUCCUCAGUCUGGCUAAAGGUUUGUCAAUUUUAUCUUUUCAAAAACCAACGUUUUGUUUCAUUGAUCUUGUUUAUUGUUUUCCUCGUUUCAAUUCCAUUGAUCUCUGCUCUGAUCUUUAUUAUUUCUUUUCUUCUACUAAUUUGCAGUUGGUUUGCCUUUGCUUUUCUAGUUCUUUAAAGUAAAUCAUUAGUUUAUUUGAAGUUUUUCUACUUUUUUGAUAAUAGUAUAUAGCUAUAAACUUUCCUCUUAGUACUGCUUUUGCUGUAUUCCAUAGGUUUUGGUAUAUUGAGCUUCCAUUAUCAUGUGUUUCAAAAAAAGUUCCAGUUUUCAUCUUAAUUUCUUCAUUGACUCAGUUGUCAUUCAGGAGCAUAUUGUUAAUUUCCAUGUGUUUGUAUAGUUUCAAAAAUUCCUCCUGUUAUUAAUUUCUAGUUGUAUUCCACUAUGGUCUGAGAAGAUACUUUAUAUUAUUAUACUUUACAUUUUUGAAUGUUUUAAGGAAAUGUUAUGUAAAUAUCUAUUAGGUCCAUUUGUUGUAUCAUGCAGAUUAAGUCCAACGUUUCUUUGUGGAAUUUCUGUUUGGAUGAUUCAUUCAGUGCUGAAAGUGGAGUGUUGAGAUGUCCCCAGCUGUUAUCCUAUUGGAGUCCAUCUCUCUUUAGUGCUAAUGUUUGCUUUAGAUAUCUGUUGCUCCAGUGUUGGGUGAUAUGUAUUUAAAAUUAUUAUAUCCUCUUGCUGAAUUGACCUCUUUAUCAUUAUAUAAUGAGCUUUUUUGUCUCUUUUUAUAGUUUUUGUCUUCAAAUCUAUUUUGGCUGAUAUAAGUAUAUCUAUUCCUGCUCUUUUCUGGUUUCCAUUUUCAUGGAAUAUCUUUUUGAAUCCUUUUAUUUUCAGUCUAUGUAUUUCUUUAUAAGUGAAGUAUGUUUCUAGUAGGCAACAGAUUGUUGUGUCUUGUUUUUAUCCAUUCAGCCCUGUAUGUCUUUGGAUUGGAGAUUUUAGUCCUUUUACAUUCAAUGUUACUAUUGUCAAGUAAGGUCUCACUCCUGCCAUUUUAUUGUUUUCUGGUUCCUUUGUGGUCUUCUCUUCCUUCUUUCCUUCCUUCCUGUCUUCCUUUUAGUGAAGGUGAUUUUCUCUAGUGGUAUGUUUUAAUUUCUUGCUUUUUGUUUUUUUGUGUGUCCAUUGUAUGUUUUUUGAUUUGAGAUUACCAUGAGGCUUGCAAAUAACAUCUUAUUACCCAUUAUUUUGAACUUAUGACAACUUAACACUGAUUGCAUAAACAAACAAGCAAGCAAAAAGAAAACUAAUAAAAACUCUACCCUUUAAUUCAGUCUCCCUGCUUUUUAACUUUUUCAUUUCUAUUCAUAUCUUGUUGUAUUAUCUAUGUCUUGAAAAGUUAUUGUAAUUAUUUUUUUUGACUGGAUCAUCUUUUAUUCUUUCUACAUAAGAUAUUAGUAGUUUAUACACCAUAAUUACAGUGCUAUGAUAGUCUGUGUUUUCUGUGUGCUUACUAUUACCAGUUAGUUUUGUACCUUCAAAUGAUUUCUUAUUGCUCAUUAGCAUCCUUUUCUUUCAGAUUGAAGAACUCCAUUUAGCAUUUCCUAUAAGACAGGUCUGGUGUUGAUAAAAUCCCUCAGCUUUGUUUGCCUGUGAAGGUCUUUAUUUCUUCUUCAUCUUUGAAGGAUAUUUAUGCUAGAUAUACUAUUCUAGGGUAGAAAUUUUUUUUCCUUCAGCACUUUAAAUGUGUCAUGCCACUCUCUCCUGGCCUGGAAGGUAACCACUGAAAAGUUUGCUGCCAGACAUAUGGGAGCUCCAUUGUAUGUUAUUCGUUUGUUUUCUCUUGCUACUUUUGGGAUCCUUUCCUUAUCCUUGACCUUCGGGAGUUUGAUUAUUAAAUGCUUUGAGGUAGUUCUUCUUUGGGUUAAUUCUGCUGGGUGUUCUGUAGCCUUCUUGUACUUGGAUAUUGACAUCUUUCUCUAAGUUUGGGUUUGGGAAGUUCUAUGUUAUUAUCCCUGGGUUUGGGAAGUUCUAUGUUAUUAUCCCUUUGAAUAAACUUUUUUUUUCUUUGGCAUAAAAUGCAGAUCCUGCACAACCUUUGAAUAAACUUUCUAUGCCUAUUUCUCUCUCUACCUACUCCCUAAGGCUAAUAACUCUCAGAUUUGCUCUUUUGAGGCUGUUUUCUAGAUCUUGUAGGUGUGCUUCAUUGUUUUUUAUUCUUUUUUCCUUUGUCUCCUCUGAUUGUGUAUUUUCAAAUAGCCUGUCUUCAAAGCUCACUAAUUCUGCUUGAUCAGUUCUGAUGUUAAAUGGCUCUGCUGUCUUCAGUAUGUCAGUUGCAUUUUUGAGCUCCAGAAUUUCUGCUUCAUUUCUUUUACUUAUUUUAGUCUCUGUUAUAUUUAUCUGAUAGGAUUUUGAAUUCCUUCUCUAUGUCUUCUCUGUGUUAUCUUGAAUUUCUUUGAGAUUUCUCAAAACACCUAUUUUGAAUUCUUUUUGAAAGGUCGCAAUAUGUCUGUCUUUGUGGAACAGGGAUUUUUCACUGGUGCCUCAUUUAGUUCAUUUGAUGAGGUCAUGUUUUCCUGGGUGGUCUUGAUGCUUGUGGAUGUUUGUCAGUGUCUGGACAUUGAAGAGUUAGGUAUUUAUUGUAGUCUUUGCAGUCUGGGCUUGUUUGUACUCACGCUUCUUGGGAAGACUUUUCAGUUAUUCAGAAGCACUUGAGUAUUGUGAUCUAAUUUUUUUUCCCACCGCAGCUGUAUCUGGAUUAGGGGGCGUUCCAAGCCCAGUAACACUAUGGGCUCUUGCAGACUCAAAGAGAUACUGCCUUGGUGAUCUUGGGUAAGAUCCGGUAGAAUUAUCUGGAUUGCCAGGCAGAGCCUCUUGUUCUCUUCCCUCACUUUCUCCUAAACAAAUGGAGUCUUUCUCUCUCCACUGAGCUGCCUAGAGCUGCAGGAGGUGUUGCACAAGCUCCUCUGUGGCUACUACCACUGUUACUGCACUGGGUGAGACCUAAAGCCAGCAUAGCACUGGGUCUCGUCCAUGGCCCACGGUAACCACUGCCUGGCUACCACUUGGGUUCACUCAAGGUCCUAGGCCUCUACAGUCAGCAGGUGGCAAAGCCAGCUAGGCUGUAUCCUUCCCUUCAGGGUAGAAAGAUCCCCCUGGUCCUGGGGGCAUUCAGAGAUGCCAUGUAGGAGCCAGAGCCUGGAGCUGGAAACCUUAGGAGUCUACCUGGUACUCUAUUCUACUGUGGCUGAGCUGGCACCCAAGCCACCAGACAAAGUUCUUCCCAUUCUCCCCUUCCCUUUGCACAAGCAUAGGAGUCUCUUCCCAUGGCCACCACCACCCCAGGCAUGCAGCAAGUACUGUCUGGCUACCUGCUGUUAUUCGUUCAAGGCCCAAGGGCUCUUCAGUCAAUUUGGUAAAUGCUGCCAUGCCUGGGACUUUUUCAUCAGGGCACUGGACUUUUCUCUGGCGCAAGGUAGGUCCAGAAAUGCCAUCUAAGAGACAAGGCCUGGAAUCUGGGACCCCUGAGAGCCCACAUGAUGCUCUACCCCACUGUGGCUGAGCUGGUACCUAAGCUGCAAGACAGAGUUCCUUUAUUCUUCUUUCUGCUUUUCUCAAGCAAUAGUCUAUCCUUGUAGCCACCACACCUGGAAAUAUGCUUGGUCACACUUGAAGCUAGUACAGCACUGGGUCUCACCCAAGGCCAACAGCAAGUACUGCCUGGUUACCACUGCAGAUUUUUCAGGGCCCAAGGGUUCUUUAGUCAGCAGGUGAUGAAUCCUGCCAAGACUGGGUCUUUCCCCUCAAGGCAGCAGGUUCCCUUCUGGCCUACGGUAUGUCUAGAAAUGUCAUCCUGGAGCUAGAGCUUGGAAUGGGGGCCUCAGGACUCUGCCUGAUGCCUGUCCUAUUGCUAUUGUGGCUGAGCUUGUAUCCGAGAUGCAAGACAAUGUCCUCUUUAUUAUUCCCUCUCCUUUCCUCAAGCAGAAGGAAGGUGUCUCUUUGGAGCUCUGCUGCCUGGGGUUACGGGAAGGGGUGGUGCAAGCACUCUAAUUGGCUACCCUAGCUGGUGUCUCACUAGGUCACAUGCCCCCCAUGUCCACUGACUCCAAACCCAGCACAGCACCAGGACUUGCCCAGGAAUGGCAGUCCUUAUGGCCUAGACCACCUUUCAGCUCUAUUUAGGACCGCAGAGCACUUUAGCCCGUGGUAUGAGGUCUGCCAGAAUGCAUUCUGAGCACUGGGGUGGGCGAGUCCCCUCUGGCUAGGGCAGGUCCAGAUGAUCCCUUCAUGGGUGCUGCCUGAGUUCUGCCUGGUGGUGGUUUCCACUGUUACAGGGCAGCACUGAGUUCCCAUGCCAGUUUCCACAAUCACUGCACUCUUCCUCCUCCAAGUGCACGGGUUCUGUCUCGGCACCAUUGGGCCACUGCCAGGGAAUGGGGAAGGGGUUGUGUUGGCAAUGCAAGACUAUUUUUCCUACCCUUUUCAGGGCCUCUUUCAGUGAUAUGAAGUUCAAAACACAUACUGUGAUCACUCACAUGGUUUUUGUUUCUCAUGAAAGUACUUUUCUGUAUGGCAAGUUGUUCAAUUUGGUGUUCCUGCAGGAAGAAGGAUUGGUGGAGGCUUCUAUUUGGCCAUCUUGCUCUGCCUCCUCCCCAAUCCAGAUAAUUUAAAUAAUAUCUGACACUUACAGAAUGUUUACAAGAUCUUUGUAUAAAUUGUUCUUUUAUGUCUUUGUUUUCAUUUUGAGUGUUGUUGCAGUAUUUUCAGGUUAAAUAAUAAAGCAGGCAUAUCAAAUUUUAGCCUUAAUCUUAGCUUUGCAUUUAACCUUGUGAACUUGUUGUCGUGGUUUGCACUUCAUGAUGACUUGUGAUUAAAGCAGGCCACAAUGACUGCAUAGAGGAUUAUUCUUACAGCAAAUGGGUUAUAUCAAUAUUUUCAUAUUUUUAUUUUGAAGUUGUAGGUGGGGUCUUAUUUAAAUAUAAAACCCAGAGUUGGUGAGAUUGUAGAGAAACAACUCAGAUCCUGUUGGUGAGAGUGCAAAUUGGUAUAUAAGCUAAAACUCCCAAUACCUACAUGAUAGGAACUCAGUCCUCCUUUCAGUGCCCACAGUAGUAUAUUUACAGUAGGGCUUAUCUCACACACGUAACCGUGCCAGUUCAUGGUACCUUCUCAGUCUCCAGUGUCACCUGUUGUAAAAUCCUUACUGAACAACACUUCUUACUGAUAUAUAAUGUACCAGCAUUUUAUACAUUAAAUUAUAACAUAGUAGCUAAGAGAAUUGUCUGUGUUGGAAUCUUUACUGUACUAGCCAUGUGAUCUUGGUUAAGUUACUUAGCACCUCUGAGCAUCAAUUCCUCAUCUGUAAAAUGAGGAUAAUUGAAUUUAUCUCAUUGGUUGUAAAGAUUAAAUAAGAAAACAUUUAUAAAACAUCAUAGUGCCUGGCUCAUGUUAAUCACUAAAUAAAGGUUUUUACAAUUAUCAAUAUUGUAAAAUAUUUUUACAUUUUCUAAAAGCAAAAUUCUGGAAGUAUGUGCUGUGCACUAAACUGUGUCUACCUCAAAAUUCUGAUGUUGACGCCCUAGUCCCCAGUGUUGACUGUAUUGCAGAUGGGACCUAUAAGGCAAUAAUUAAGGUUAAAUGAGGCUAUAAGUGUGGGGUCCUAAUCUGAUAGGGUUGGUACCAUAUAGGAAGAUGAAGAAACACCAGAGCUCACUCUCUCUCACUCUCCAAGAAAUCGACAAAAUGGGAACAGAGUAUUCACCAGGAGGCAAACUGGGGGGCAAUCAACCAAUCCUUGAUCUUGGAUUUCCCAGCCUCGAGAACUGUGAGAAAAUAGAUUCCUGUUGUUUAAGCCGCACGGUUUAGGGUAUUUUGUUAUGGCAGCCUGAGGUGACUAAAAUAGUAUGUUUAUGCAUUUUUCAAAAGCAAAUAAAUAAUUCUAAUGUAAACUAUUCAGGAUAAACUGUUGUAUUUCAUAAAUUCGCAAAUCUGUCAUUGGCCCUGUUGUAAAAGGCCAUAAUUUGACAAUGUAAGACUCAGGGGGUUCUAGUAAACAUAGUAUCUGACACUUUCAGAAUGUUUAUAAGUAGCAUACAUAAAUUUUUGCUUGAGGUCUUCAUUUUCAUUUUGAGUGUUCUUGCAGUAUUUGCAGAUCAAAUGGUAAAGUGGGUAUAUCAAAUUUUAGGCUUAACCUGGUUACAUUCAUAUAUUUCUCCUUUAUUAACCUGAAGCUCUGGGAAGCUCAUAUGCCUUUCAGAUUUAUAAUCCUCAAGCCCACUGAUACUUUUUUUUUUUUUUUUGAUGGAGUCUUGCUCUGUCACCCAGGCUGGAGUGCAGUGGCGCGAUCUUGGCUCACUGCUAGCUCUGCCUCGCGGGUUCACGCCAUUCUCCUGCCUCAGCCUCCCGAGUAGCUGGGACUACAGGCACCGGCCACCACGCCCGGCUAAUUUUUUGUAUUUUUAGUAGAGACAGGGUUUCCCCGUGUUAGCCAGGAUAGUCUCAAUCUCCUGACCUCGUGAUCUGCCCACCUCGGCCUCCCAAAGUGCUCAUUGAUACUUUUUGGUACAGUAUUCCGUUUAGCUGUCAGCUUGGAAUUCUCAUCAGUUAAAUUAUCUGUCUAGAUGGCAAAUAGUAGGAAUGCUUCCCUGAGUACAUACAAAAUUGAGGUAGGGGCUGUGCUGGGAACUUAAAUGAGCUUUGCCCCUAGAGUUUGGUCUCAGAGGACAGAAAGAAAAAUACCAAGGAGGCUUCUUGCUGAAAAGUACAAUUUAUUUUUGUGACUAUUGUAGCAGUCAGGUUCAGUUACAGAGAAUAGAAUUCAUAGAAAUCAUUCUAUGUGCUCUAUAAUUUAAAGAUAAAAAGAAUUUCUCAACAAGUAUUACAUAUUCUGCUGAAUCAUAGGAGGGCUGAAGAAACAUAGAACUCUGAGAAAAAUUCCUAGAGUCACACUAUAAGAGCAAGCCACCAAAGAAGCUGCUGCCUGUCUCUGAACAAAAAGCUGCCUACAAAAUCAGAAAACUGCAGCUACAGCUGCUGACUCCAGAAUUAUACUGGACAUGCAACAUUUUAAUUUUUUAUUGUCUGUGUCCCUCUACUACAAAGUCAGUUCAAGAAGUCAGGAAUUUUUUUCUUUGUUCACUGUUAUAUACACAGCACUGAGAAUGAAUCUUGACUUGUAGUAGGAAUGAAUACUCACAGUCAUAGGUAGCACUCACCCACUAAAC